UACGGGGGGUGCGAGCGUUAAUCGGAAUAACUGGGCGUAAAGGGCACGCAGGCGGUCUUUUAAGUGUGGUGUGAAAUCCCCGGGGUUAACCUGGGAAUUGCAUUUCAUACUGGGAGUCUAGAGUACUUUAGGGAGGAGUAGAAUUCCACGUGUAGCGGUGAAAUGCGUAGAGAUGUGGAGGAAUACCGAAGGCGAAGGCAGCCCCUUGGGAAUGUACUGACGCUCAUGUGCGAAAGCAUGGGGAGCAAACAGG
rnacentral:rRNA from 1 species